UGGUGUUUGGGAGAGAUUAAAAUUGGCAGGGGUUAGGAAAUCUGGAUGCAUCAGAUAAAACUGCUGUACCAGGUUUUUUUUGUAGGUGGGGGAAUCUGUACUCCAUGCUCACCAGUAACCCAGUAUGCAGGAGCUCAGAGUCCAGCAGGUGAUGGGGUCUGCCAGGGUCUUCUUGGAUGUAGACUGUAACAACACAAGAUAGAUUUUGGAGAAGCAGAAAGAUGGGUCACUAAAUUGGAAACAGACUUAAAAGAUUCAACAGACAGAUUUAAAAUCAAUUUUCUCUUGGGCGUUUACAAACCCCCAGAAAAGCUGGAGUGUUUGGACCUCGGUGAAAACAUCUACAACAGCUUGAGCUUUUGAAAAGUUUCUCAAAAUCAUUAAAAGAGAACUUCAGAAACCUUCAGCUUGACGGUGACUCUUAAAAACUUCCCAGUCUGGAUGGAGGAGCAGCUCAUCGAAGUGGGGCAGCAUCAGAUCCUCCCAGGACCUGGUGGUGGUCAGCACAUCCAACGCCACGGCUCGACACCUCCGUCAUGUUUAGGGGAAAAGCAGAGACAUACAUGUGCAGCCAAAGGGAGGCAUAAAAACCUCGUACAGAAUAACAGGACACAAAAAAACAUGACAAGUACAGAUCUCAGAUUUUCACAGAGACUGGAGGGUCAAAAAGAAACAAAAACAAAAAGAAGAAAAAAAAGACACAAAGAAAACAAAAAUCUCAGAUUUUUACAGAGACUGGAGGGUCAAAAAAGAAACAAAAACAUUUUAUGGUUACAGUUCAUUGUCCCCCUCAUUUUAGUUGAAGCUGUAGAGGAGACGUUGGUGAGGCCUGAAGUUGUAGUUGAUAUUGAGGUUGUCCUUGUUGAGUUGGUUUCCUUUUGGAGAACUGAGUGAAAUUUGCGGAUUUGUUGUUUCCUUAAGAGUUGUUGUUGUUUUGCUUUUUGUUCUUUUAGUGGUGGGCUCAGCAAGUAUUUGGUAAAACUUGCAACUGACAUUUUUUGACAUUUUCAUGCCAACCAAGUUUCAUGAAAACAGAAAUAAGCUUUUUAAAGUCAUAAAACCCUUUUAACCUUGAGUGAUGCUGAACCAUUCUCCGGUUGGUUGUGAAUUUUCUUUUUUGGUUUGGUUUUUAUUUAGUGUUUUUAGCACUUCUUGAUUUAUUGACUGUUGUCGUUAAACUUUUGAGUUAAAACCACCUUUUGUACCUUGUUGGUGGUUUUCCCUUUUGUCAUUGAAAGCACCAUUUAAACCUUGUAUUACCAUUGUGUCCCUGUGAGCACCAUUUAAACCUUGUUGAUUUGUCCUUUUGUCAUUGAAAGCACCAUUUAAACCUUUUUGUUGUGUCAUUGAAAGCACCAUUUAAACCUUGUUUGUGUUACCAUCAUGUCCCUGAAAGCACCUCAUGAACCUUGUUGUCUGUUUCCAUAAUGUCUUUGAACGCAUCGUUGUGAACCUUGUUGGUUUGUGGUUGUGUGGCUGAAAACACUUUUUAAUUAAACCUUGUUUUUGGUUUGAUUGUUGUGUUUUUGAUCGUUGAACCUUGUGGUGUUGCAUCUGUGCAUCAGAGUAUUAUGACUGUUUCUGCUGUUGUGUUUCAAUAGAGACAUUCACCUACCUUUUUGAUAAAAUAAACCACCUUAUGGCUGAAAUGUUUUUAUCGACUGGGACGUCGGACACACUUCUCCAGCUGGGCUCUAUUCUAGAGGACAUCAGGACUUGUUUCUGAAAAAUAACAUAUAAAUCUAUGUCUUUACAGGCACAGAAAAUGAGUAUGAUUGUUACAGACAGAAACACACAAAUCUGUACAGUUAAACAUCAGAAAAGGCUGCAGCAUCACUUAAGAGCUAAUAUUCUCCUGCAUCCACAUCCUUGAGUCACCUGCAAACAACAAAGUACUCACAAAAUACACAGCUGUUGCAUCACCUACUGGUUUUCGAAGAGAGGUUAUAGUCACGACAUUGGAAACACUGACCCAGCCUUACAUGUUAUCAACAUAAAAACAGGCAGAGAUCGAGCUUAGGUGGGCCUUAACUUUGGUAGAACAGCUGAGGCACACCCACGUCGCAUUGCGCCUUUGUGAAAACGAUUUAAUAACCAGAGAAAAGUUGUUUCUGGAGUUGAAGCAUUCAGACAUUUGGGUGACAAUAGGACAGUGUGUUAAGUGUUGUUCCCCGCCACAUCUUACCUGCAGCACAAGGAUGCCUGACUUCGUCUCUUAGAGGUGAUCUAGAUCCUUCCUGAAGACAUUGGUGGUUGCCAUGUUCAUCACUGAAGAUGCUCACUUCUGUGAUGGUUGGGGAAAAGGAGAGAGACACACAUACAAAUGCAGAAAAUACUUGAAUUAAAAACAGUGAAGGUGAGGUGCAGCAUUAGAAAAUCUGUUUGAAACUGAAUAUGGAUGAAGUUAUCAGAAUGCAGGACCUGAUUUCUUACAUGCUUUCUUGUGGUUACUUUGGUGAAAACAUAACGUCAAAAAGUUCAUCUUACCUUCAACAAGAUGACCACCCUUGGAUUUCCCAGACGGAACAGGAAGGCG